GUGCUAGGAUUACAGGCAUAAGCCACCACGCCCAGCUGCAAGCCAAGAUUUCUUACCACAUACAUUUUUUAAAGACUCCCGCAUCUAAUCCCAUGGACUUGCCUCUAAACUGGUCCAUGCACAAUCCUAGGGUUUCUCACCUGGCCCCUGGGUGCUCCUGCUGCCUGUCUCUUGGGCUGACUUGGGUUAAGCAUGAUUAAUUUGGAGGCUCCACAAGAGGAUUGUUGGCCCUGGAUCCCAAUAUCCAAAUGAGUUUUUGCCUCAAACGGGGCAUCUUAAUUGGAAGGUAAAUGAAAACUCCCUCUUCCACCCUGACAGCCCCAAAAUGUACUUUGGCAUUUAUGUGGGAGAGGUAAAUAGCAUCAUAAUGUCUUCUGGAUUGUCACUCUGCCAGGUCCUGUUGGCAAGAAGCUUGUUCAGAGAAAGCUGAUUUAUAAGGGAGUUUUGCAGCAUUCUUGCAGAUCACUGAAUUCCCAGGCCCAGAAAGGAGGAAUGGCACCAACCAGAGGCAGGGGCAGAAAGGGGAUUGGAGUGGGAAGAUCACAGGCUCUGGAGACAGCAGGACCUGCGCUUGCAUCUUGAGCUGGCUGCUUACCAGUGCUCCGAGGACGGUUAUUUAACGCUGGCCCCCAAGGAUCAGCCGCACAGACCUUCCUCCUCCCGGAACGUCCAAGAGCACUGGAUCCUCUGGGUCCCUCUGAGAUGGGGUGCCGCUCCAGCAAGAGCACCACGGUGGCAGCUGAGUCCCAGAAGCCUGGAGAAGAGCGCGAGGGAGGAGAGCCAGGGCUGGAGACCGGCACCCAGGCAGCAGACUGCAAGGAUGCCCCGCUGAAGGAUGCAACCCCUGAGCCAAAGAGCUGAGAUGCCUCUCUCCAGAGUCAGACCCUCACCCUCCUGGAACUGCCUUUGGCCCGUGAACCAUGAGACGAUCCCAACCCUGAGAAGCUCCGAUCACUGGGAGGAGAGAGAGAAAGCCUCCAACUUUAGGAUUCAGGCUUCAGAAGUUUUUAGCAGCCUUUGCUCCCUGGAGGGGAGGGGAGGAUAAGUCUAUAAGGAAUCCUAUUUCCCCAGCUCUCCCACAGAGAGGACAAAAGAAGUCUUUACAUGUUGUGGAACUUUCCUGCAACUUCCGGAUGCAGACAAGCCUCAGAGCAGACUGUUCUGGCUCCAAUGAAUAUCUGCUGCCAAGCUGUGAGCAUCCAGUGAUCCCCGUCUGCCUGGCUUUCCUGAAUUCAGAAGGCGCCUUGGUCAUAAUGUGUGGGGUGUGUGGAUCUCAGUUUGCUCUCUUUCUUUCUCCUUUUUUCAACAGCUGGCGGAGUAGCCAACACCCCUGACAGCAACGUGUUGCACUUGGCUCACUCCACACUAUGUCUAUGAAUAGUUUAAUAUUUAACUUGAAAUGUUGUUAAGAAUCUAUGGAAAAUAUCAGGAUCUGACUGGGAUCCUGUAAAUCGAAGGCAACAAGGUCUUGCUUGGUCCUCCAGUAAGUGGGGCAUGGAGCCCUGGUGGGAAGGAAAGAAGAGAGAGUUGUGUUCCUGAUUCCUUAAUCCCCCAAAAAGGUCCCUCUGCUAACAUUCACAUAUCUCUUCAUAGCCAAAGUCUGUCCAUUUCAACCCUCGAGCAUCUGAGCUAUCUGUAUCCAGCUUUCAAAAAUAUUUCACUGUUUACUAACAUGUCUGUCAGCCUUUCUUUUCUCCCCCGCAUGUGUUUUGUUUUUAAUUCCACUCAAAAGCGUUUUCAUUUGAAAUUAAAUAGACAUGUUUGCAAAUAAAUGAUGACACAACACAUUUGAAA